UGCCAGACUCCUACGGGAGGCAGCAGUGGGGAAUAUUGCACAAUGGGGGAAACCCUGAUGCAGCGACGCCGCGUGAGCGAUGAAGUAUUUCGGUAUGUAAAGCUCUAUCAGCAGGGAAGAAAAUGACGGUACCUGACUAAGAAGCCCCGGCUAACUACGUGCCAGCAGCCGCGGUAAUACGUAGGGGGCAAGCGUUAUCCGGAUUUACUGGGUGUAAGGGGAGCGUAGACGGUCCUGCAAGCCAGAUGUGAAAGCCCGAGGCUCAACCCCGGGACUGCAUUUGGAACUGUAAGGCUAGAGUGUCGGAGAGGCAGGCGGAAUUCCUAGUGUAGCGGUGAAAUGCGUAGAUAUUAGGAGGAACACCAGUGGCGAAGGCGGCCUGCUGGACGAUGACUGACGUUGAGGCUCGAAGGCGUGGGGAGCAAACAGGAUUAGAUACCCUAGUAU
rnacentral:rRNA from 1 species